rnacentral:miRNA from 1 species
UAUAAGACGAACAAAAGGUUUG